CGGGGUGUAGCGCAGUUGGCUAGCGCGCAGCGUUCGGGUCGCUGAGGUCGUGGGUUCAAGUCCCACCACCCCGACCA
rnacentral:tRNA from 1 species